GAUGAACGCUAGCUACAGGCUUAACACAUGCAAGUCGAGGGGUAGCAGGGUAGCAAUACCGCUGACGACCGGCGCACGGGUGAGUAACACGUAUCCAACCUUCCCAUAACUCAGGGAUAGCCUUUCGAAAGAAAGAUUAAUACCUGAUAGUACUUAAGAAAGGCAUCUUUUUUAAGUUAAAGAUUUAUUGGUUAUGGAUGGGGAUGCGUUCCAUUAGAUAGUUGGUGAGGUAACGGCUCACCAAGUCUUCGAUGGAUAGGGGUUCUGAGAGGAAGGUCCCCCACAUUGGUACUGAGACACGGACCAAACUCCUACGGGAGGCAGCAGUGAGGAAUAUUGGUCAAUGGGCGAGAGCCUGAACCAGCCAAGUAGCGUGAAGGAUGAAGGUCCUAUGGAUUGUAAACUUCUUUUAUAGUAGAAUAAAGUGAUCCACGUGUGGAUUUUUGUAUGUAUACUAUGAAUAAGGAUCGGCUAACUCCGUGCCAGCCGCCGCUGUAA
rnacentral:rRNA from 1 species